CUUGCCCCUUCACGUCUCCAAAUGGGCCAAGCCUCAGCGAAAAAAAAAACAAGACCAGACCAUCGAUGGAUCUCAUCUCCAGUUUCUUCCUCCCCAAAUCGCGCCGCCAGCCCUUCCAUUCUCCCAAUCCCGCCGCCGCCAUGCUCUACAAGAACAUCCACCUCGCAAGUUCUCCCCUACCGUCACCCAGAGAUGAGCUGUUGGAGUCAGAUGCCUCUCCUAAUCGUGCCGCCAGCCCUGCUCCUCGCAAUCGCACCACCACGAUCCCGUACAAGCACAUCCGCCCCAUACCAAGCCAGUGAGAUCUGGAAGUCAGGGACGACGGUGAGCAAAUCCUCGGCGGUAAUCGUUGGCCUCCAAUGUUUCUUGAUUCAAAUGAAUCAUUGGCCUCCAUUGUUUCUCAGCACCCAAGAUAUGGAUUUAAGAAGAGAUCAAGGAGGAGAGACGACUUUCUAUUUUUCUAUGUCCUCACGCGCACAACAGUCAUACUGCCAAAGGGGUGGACAAAGUUGGUUUGACUUUGGUAUCUAUGUACCCGAUAGCUGGGCAUCAAGAAUCUGGAGAAUCCAUCACCUAGCUUAGCCACUGUUGUCUAAAAAGCGCCAACAUAGAGCUGCUUUGAUGAUACUGCCCGUACUGAUCGAUAACCCAGCGCCUAAGGGAGCCGGAGCACGCCAAUCGUCAAUUGGCAGAUACGGCCGCGGAUGGCAGGGAGGAAGGGGAUAGGGCGAGGCCAUUGCCGCUCGAUGAAUCGUUGGUGGAGAAUUAGCCGGGCCACACCCCACAACCAUGAGAAUUUCAAGCACUCUGAUACUUCAUCAGCUAGGUGGAGUAGAGACCUGAUCCUGCAAUCCGGGGGAUGAGAAAGAGUUGCAUAUGGAUAAAAUGGAUGGAAAGAACUAGAGUGACCACAAGAUAUCUCAACAUAUUAUUCUUGAUCUACCGGGGCUUGCAUUCUGCGGGGACUAUACAAUGUUGGAACUUUAUGAGGAUGACAUAUCUUAUCAUGCGCAUGGUCUAGACUUUAUGGCAUGAGAUCAGCACGUUAUUCCCUAUUCUCCCACUACGUCAAGCCUUUCAGCGUUCCUUUGGUCGCAUCAUCGUCGUGCUUCGUCGUCCACGUGGGCCAGCACAAUUAAAACCUGCGCGUCUCUCUAAGUAUAGGUAGUUGAGAACCACCUGUUAUUUGGGUUUCUUCUCUCUGAGUGCAUCAAACCAGCCCUUAUCGGACAUUCAAGUUCGUUUGCCUAGAUCAUAUUGCGUGAACUCCCAAAGACAUACCUGAAGCUUCAGCAAGAAAAUUUUCAUACUCUAGCAACAACUUUCUUUCUUGCAACCUGAAACACUCUGGGGGGGGACAAAAAUUUCAGAAGCCACGCAUCUCGGUGGAGGAAAAUUUCCAGAAGCCAAAUUGUGCAAUAUCAUAGGCGAGUUCAACAGCAGUCCGUUGCAACACCAUAGAGGAUUUGAAUGGAAACAAAUAUUGGUUAUCCUUUUUUGUACUCUUGCCAUGUGAGAACUGCAUAAUGAUUUUCAGAAUGAGUCGAGUUCUUGCACUGCCACUCUGGUGAGUCCACUCACAACCAACAUGUUUCCGUCCGAUUCCCAUUUGGAAGUGAGUGUUUUCUUGUCUUUGCGAUUCAUUUGUUUAGAAAGCUGAUGGAUCAUCUAGGAUAUACAAAAUUCUGGACAGCCAUCUCGAUAUGACCAUGAGAAACUUGCAGGCACAAUUUUAAUCAAAUCAAUAUCCAAUGCAUUUUUGUUGGUACAAAAGAGCUAUUUGAUGAACUAUUGUCAGGCUUUUAGCCUGGAAAGAUAGGUUCUCACAAUUUUUAUUGAGAGUAGAUUGUGUGAUAACUGAUGUUAUUUUCAGCUGGACCAUUGUUUAAACUUCAUGCUGCAGUUCAGGUACUGCAUUGAAAUAUCAAUUGAUUUAAUCUCUUGUGUUGAAAAAAUAGAGAUGCAUUGCUACAUAUUGGUAUCCUACUGCCUACGGGUAGGCGUUUAUAAAGAAAUACAAGAAGGGUUACAAAAUUACAAUAUGAUGUAAAUUCUGAUCGCGCAAACAUUUGCAAAUAUAUUCCAAUAUGAUGUAAAUUCUACAGAUAUUUGAGAACGUAAUACUUUUAUAAGUGUUACAAAAAUAUCAAAAUAUUUGCAAGCAAUAUAUGUGUGCACAUUGUAGAAUCAUUACAAAAGAGGUAGACAUCAGCUCAAGGGACCUGUUUUGGCUCCACAUAAUUUGGCAAUAAAUAACGACAACAAUGGGCUUCUUUUGGCUCGACACAAUGUCAAAAUAUUUUGCAAGUUUGAUUUCUCACCUACAAUUUAAAACCUAUAGCCGUUACAUGUUUGUUUUCCUUUUGCUGGCAAGAUGGGAUUACUGUGACAUCUCAAACAUGUGCAUCAGCAUAUGCCGAACACAAUGACUGACCAUAAUGCAAAUUAUUAAGUAGCUUAUAUUCUGCUCGCAGUUGGACUGUACUGGAUUCAACUUGCAAGAGAAAACACACCUUCGUUAGUUGUAAAAAAAACACACCUUCGUUCCUUGUACAUACAAUGUUAGUAUGAUAUAAAAUUUUCUUAUGAUAUAAAAUUUUCUUAUGUAGACUACAAUUUGUGUCAACACUAUGAUUGCCCUCCGAUAAAAAGUUAUAGCACAAUUGGAACCAACCAGAAUAGUAUUAGCAUAUGAUUCUACAUCAUAUGGCCGCCAUGAAUUUAUCUCUCAUUAGCUUUAUGACUCUUUCAUUUGUCUUUGACUCCUGCACAGUUCACUGAUGGACUAAAAGGGGAGGAGCAUCGCGAGGCUUCGCGUGAGGGACAUGAGGAGUGGGACAAGUUUGUCGUUGGUGAGGACAUGCGGCUUGUGGCGAUGAGGGGUGGGGGCGAGAUGCUGGGAAGAGAGGAGCGGGAGGCAGGGGAAAUUAGGCGGCGGUGGAGGCCGUUCGGUGUCAUUGGCAGUAGGAGACGGCGAUCCGGUGGCGCUCAAUAGGCAUGUGUGCGCGUUGAGGCAAAGAGAACCAGUGAAUCUCGUUGACCCUUUAUUUAUCUCUCUCUGACUUCUCCGGCUGCUCAGUACUAGAUUUUUCUACACCCGCCAGCGCUGAGGCAAGACGCAUGCAACAUGCCUGUAAUCGAUGGGACGUACCGUAUCAAGAUUUUUCUACACCAGUCCAACCAUAUUUUUAUUUCAUUUCAUUCCAUAUUUAUUCUGAAGAUUAUUUUAGGAUUGCUUUGACAGACCGGGUUGUUUCUUAGAUCUUCUCAAUCAGGCAUAAUAUGUAGUCACCUCUUAUUUGUUGUUACUAGACGUAUGUACAAGAUUUGAGUUGGAUAGUAUUACAUCAUUUUAGUUGUGUGAUAAACAAA